UACGAAGGGGGCUAGCGUUGCUCAGAAUCACUGGGCGUAAAGGGUGCGUAGGCGGGUCUUUAAGUCAGGGGUGAAAUCCUGGAGCUCAACUCCAGAACUGCCUUUGAUACUGAAGAUCUUGAGUUCGGGAGAGGUGAGUGGAACUGCGAGUGUAGAGGUGAAAUUCGUAGAUAUUCGCAAGAACACCAGUGGCGAAGGCGGCUCACCUGGCCCGAUACUGACGCUGAGGCACGAAAGCGUGGGGAGCAAACAGGGA
rnacentral:rRNA from 1 species